rnacentral:rRNA from 1 species
AACGAACGCUGGCGGCAUGCCUAACACAUGCAAGUCGAACGGGAUCCUGGCUUCGGUCAGGUGAGAGUGGCGGACGGGUGAGUAACGCGUGGGAACCUGCCCAGUGGUGGGGGAUAACUGCGGGGAACUGCAGCUAAUACCGCAUGAGCCCGAGAGGGGAAAGAUUUAUCGCCAUUGGAGGGGCCCGCGUUCGAUUAGGUAGUUGGUGAGGUAACGGCUCACCAAGCCGACGAUCGAUAGCUGGUCUGAGAGGAUGAUCAGCCACACUGGGACUGAGAUACGGCCCAGACUCCUACGGGAGGCAGCAGUGGGGAAUAUUGGACAAUGGGGGGCAACCCUGAUCCAGCAAUGCCGCGUGAGUGAUGAAGGCCUUCGGGUUGUAAAGCUCUUUUGGCGGGGACGAUGAUGACGGUACCCGCAGAAUAAGCCCCGGCUAACUUCGUGCCAGCAGCCGCGGUAAU